GCUGUCCCGACUAGGGGGAAGUCUGAAGCGUUUCUAGCUGUACUUUGAGUUUGUUUUUGUGAAGAAUGGGAUUACGCAGACCUGCCUUCUUCACAUGAAUUCUCAAUAAUGUUCCAAGAACCAAGUGAGAAGAGCGCAGUGCUCUACGAGGAGAAGCCACAUGGAAGCAUGCCAGGCAAAUGCCACACAGACCCUGGGUCUGGCAACAAGGGGAAAAUGAAGAUGAAUACUUACUUCUUGGAGUCCAGCUAACGGAAUGAAAAAUAAAUCAAGACCACUAUGCGUGUCAACCAAGAAUUAAAUGCCCACUUCCUCACUGGAAAAGAGAAAACAGACAGAGGAAGGUCUUGCAAGACCAAGGGACCCUGGGUCCUCCGGCCACAAGGAAGUGAAAUCUGCCAGUAGGAUCAAGGAGCCUGAAAGCAGACCUUCUCCUAGUCAAGCCUCCAGCUGAGGACACCACAUUGAUUUCAGCCUCGUGAGACGCUGAGCAAAGAACCCAGCUAUGCUGGACUGGACCUCUGACCUGCAUGAUGUAAUAAAUAGGAAAGAACUCCCCAUUGCUCCUUCCUUAGCAGUGGAAUCAGUGGCUCAAACGCAGCGACUGCUGAUGAAACCUCAAUUUCCAAAUACAUUCCACGGCUUAUUUGUGGAGGGAAAUGUGCUUCACCUUUUGACCGUUCAGAUAGCUGGCGAAAGCAAAUAGAGGUUAACAGUGAAAGGAAUUGCUGAUUUGUGAUGACCCGUCCCUGGAAAUCCGAUCUGUGGUACUUCCAACAGCCUCGCAACAUGGAGUCUUGCUUAGCCUUCCAGGAAAAGGCCACGACAUCUGUCCAGUCCUCCAAAUUCAGCUCAGGCAGCAGUCAUCUGAUCCUCCCCGGCUUCUCCAAAGAAAAGAAUGCUAAAACACAAAAUCCACCUGAGUACAUUGUAAAGCUUUAUUCAGCAACUCGUGAAUUGGGCAACAAAAGGAAAGGAGCUCCGAAGAGGUACACAAUUGGAGAGCAUUUUGUAGACCCCAGUGAGCAGAAACAAGGAAGUUUUCUUGGGCCAAAGCAGAUUGGUUAUUGCAAGCCAUCCUCGUGUGAAGAAACAAUUCUCCUGUGCAUCCUGGGAUUCAUCUGUUUUGAGAAAUGACAAACUGUGGUCUUCUAAACAUUUUAUGUUUGAUUUUUGACAUUUUCCCAAGGGACCCAGCCCUGCCCUCACCAUGCAAUGGAGUGGAGAUAAAGACGCUUCUUUUUUCAGAGACAGACGACGUUGCUUUUGGAGAUCUAGAUACACAAGUAUCUCCUAGGAGAGAGUGAAGCCAAGACAGUCAAUGUCCCUGGAGAUGCGUGAGUCUGUUACCACAUGACAUUAUUGAUACUCAUUUUCUGAUUGAGAGUCUUUCAAAUAUUUGUUGUGUCUGUAAACUCUUUCUCAUUGGAAUGGUCCUAUUUUUGUGAACAUUUGCUCACAAAUUUAUAUCCAUUUGUUUAGACAGUAAUUGAGAAAGGCUGGCAUUGGACUGUAUCAGAUUUAUCUGGGGGAAUUUUUUUUCCCUAUAAAAUCCCUUUCCCAUCUCCAAAAAUGACCGUAUUCAGUAGGUCCGGGGUGGAAAUAGUAAUCUAAUUUUAAAAAAUUAUCCAGGUGACUCUGUAGUGUAGCCUGCCUUAGGACCACUGAGGACAGGUAGAAGACCCAUCCGGAUGGUAGUGUGAGAGCUCUGCUCCAUCCUACAACUGCAGAUUUUUCAAAAUGUCUUACAAAGGAGACUGGGUAAUAGAGUUGGUCUAACUGGCCCAGAUCUUGCUCUUAUUUUUGGCAAAAAUAUCUAGCCAUUAGCAUAUUGGUAAAGUUUAUUUUGUACAUAGUUUAUUCUUCUGUGAACUUCCCCAGGAAUAGUCAUUAUGCUCAGUACUUCUGAGUUAAAUUAUUAUGGGUUGAACUCUGUUUCCCCCCCAAAAAAAGAUAGGUUGGGGUCUUAGCUUCCAGGACCUCAGCACAUGAACUUAUUCAGAUAUAGAGGGUCUUCACAGAAGUAAUUAACUGAAAAUGAGGUCAUUAGGAUGGGCCCUAAUCUAAUAUGAUGGGUGUACUUGUUACAAGGGAAAAUUUGGACUCAGGAGGAGACAUGCGUAGAGGGCAGAGAUUAUGAAGAGAUUCAGGGAGAAGAUGGCAUCUGUAAACCAAGGAGGAAGGCCCAGAAUGGACCUUUCCUUCACAACAGUCAGAGGGAACCAACCUGCCCACACCUUCAUUUUGAAAUUCUAGCUUCCGGAACUGUGAGACAAUAAAUUUAUGUCGUUAAGCCACCCAGUCUGUGGUGCUUUGUUACAGCCGCCCUAGUAAACUAAUACAUAAACACUAGUCAAUAUUUGGGGGCCCUGCCUGCAUCUACCUUCCUAAUGAACCUAACUUUUGUCCUGUGUAAUUAUGUUUCCCGAGUGUAAGCAGUCUUGCUGGGAGGAUUACUUGCUACAGCUACUCCCACCACAGAGCCAAGAGAAGUCGAUGCUUCCUCUAACAUCACAUGUUCUAGCAAAAGGAAUUGGCACAUGACCUAAACCCAGCCAACUGGAUGCUUUCUUCUGGAACUUUCCAACUGGAAUGAGGGAGGCACAGAUGGAGGAAACAUUAGGAAGACAUCCUCUGAACGUACGCAGCCACAGUGGUGGCUGGCUCGGCAGAGUCUCCACUGGCUCUUCCUGCAGAAGAAGCUUGACGCCCCCGCCUGCCUCAGUGCCCUCCAUGGCUUCCUUCAUCCAAGCCAAUCCCCUGGAUCCUGUUGCCUUUGUGAGCCUCAUACAAAAUGAUUGGUAGCCAAUCACUUUGACCUACAAAAGAAACAAUUUCCUAGGGUUCAACCUAAUAAUCUUGCCAGAAUCAUUUUCUGUUGUUACUAAGAACCCGGCUAUAUUUCCAGAGCAGCUCAUGCAUGUAUUAUUAUGAUCCACUAGUGUCAUUUCCAUGUGUCCAUCUUCCCAGCAUCACUGUACCCCCAGUACCUGUGGAGUGUUUGUCAUAGGGUAGGUGCUCAGUCAAUAGUUGAUGAAUUCAUUGCUUUCGACUUCCAAGUUGUAUUUGUUAUUUACGUGUGUAUCUUAGAAGACUGUGAGAACCUUGUGGCCAGAAAUUGUGGAUUUCUCAUCUCUGAAUGGCCAGCAAUUUCUAGUGGGUGGAGCAAACAGAAAACUGAUAGAGCUGAGUGGUUCCUGGUAAUAUAAAGAGUUGCUGAAUGACUGUA